GCUUCAGUGGCUCAGUUGGUUAGAGCGCCAGUCUCAUACGCCUGUAUGAUCCUUGACAUAGGAGUCAUCUGGAGGCCCCCAGUUCGAUCCUGGGCUGGAGCA